GACGAACGCUGGCGGCGUGCCUAAUACAUGCAAGUAGAACGCUGAAGGAGGAGCUUGCUUCUCUGGAUGAGUUGCGAACGGGUGAGUAACGCGUAGGUAACCUGCCUGGUAGUGGGGGAUAACUAUUGGAAACGAUAGCUAAUACCGCAUAAUAGCAGUUGUUGCAUGAUAACUGUUUGAAAGGUGCAAUUGCACCGCUACCAGAUGGACCUGCGUUGUAUUAGCUAGUUGGUGGGGUAACGGCUCACCAAGGCGACGAUACAUAGCCGACCUGAGAGGGUGAUCGGCCACACUGGGACUGAGACACGGACCAGACUACUACGGGAGGCAGCAGUAGGGAAUCUUCGGCAAUGGACGGAAGUCUGACCGAGCAACGCCGCGUGAGUGAAGAAGGUUUUCGGAUCGUAAAGCUCUGUUGUAAGAGAAGAACGAGUGUGAGAGUGGAAAGUUCACACUGUGACGGUAUCUUACCAGAAAGGGACGGCUAACUACGUG
rnacentral:rRNA from 1 species